rnacentral:lncRNA from 1 species
AGGCACUAAAGUCAUCAGCCAAAGUGUCUGUCAUAGAUACUCGAAUAAGACGAGUCCUGUAGUUGUUUCCUUCCUUAACAUAUUUCCAUCGAAAAGUUUAAGGCACAUUAAACUCAUCAACUCACAAGCAUCUAUAUACUUUUUGUAGAUAUGAUAUACUCUAAACAGCAUAAGGGAUUUCGAGAAAACAAAAACUAUAACAGGACAGUAACUACAUAAAGCCGAACAUGAAACUAUCACCAAUUGCAACGAAACAACAUCUAAAACUAAAACGGUCACAAAAAUUGAAGCAAAAGUUCAAGAAAGCAACUUGUGAAGCUAAAAGAGUCACCUUGAGAAGAAGGUGAUGCUUGCACCAGAUCUUUAAGGAAAUGUAAAACACAAUAAAAAAAAUUGCAUUACAUAAACAGAGGUGCACCUGGCAAACUUCUGACUUUCUCACUGGCUGGUCUUCGAUUUGGCAGCAUGCAGAGAAAAUCCCAAAAUAAUUCCAACUUCUUUCUGAUGAACAAAAUAACAAGUUUCAAUCUCAAGCUUUAAGAAAAGCAGGGUAUCUUCAAGAAAAAAUACUGAUUCUGUGUGAAUUUCUUUCUCAUAUCUAACAAAAACAUAUGAAAAACUAGUUUUUCAACAAUACCUCUUUAUAUAAAUGAAUUCGGUUUAGGAGAACUUCUUACCUUAACUGAAGAAGGAAGUAACGAUUUGUGAAAAACAUAAAUUUCUCUUCCAGUUAGUCAAGUCUAAAAAAAUUAUGUGAUAUCUAUAAUGGAAUGAAAAAAAUAAUAUAGAAGCACGUGCGUUAUACAUACUAACACUAUUUAGUCACCCAAGUCCAACACAAAAUCAGCCACAAAAUCGCUUUUCAUUCAAGAGGGACUCCAUAGAAGAGCAAUUGAAGUGCUCAAAGCUCCACCCUUGGAAGUAUAAGGUGGGUAUGCAGAGACACUUAUCGUGCAACAAAACAGAAAAAGAGAAGGUGAAAAAAUGAAGCAGUGGGCUGAAACAGCUUGGACAAAUCGCAGAUUGUCACUCGCGGAGGCACUAGAGUCAUCCGAGUCAUCAGCCAAAGUGUCUGUCAUAGAUACUCGAAUAAGACGAGUCCUGUAGUUGUUUCCUUCCUUAACAUAUUUCCAUCGAAAAUUUUAAGGCACAUUAAACUCAUCAACUCACAAGCAUGUAUAUACUUUUUGUAGAUAUGAUAUGCUCUAAAAAGCAGAAGGGAUUUCGAGAAAACACAAACUAUAACAGGACAGUACCUACAUAAAGCCGAACAUGAAACUAUCACCAAUUGCAACGAAACAACAUCUAAAACUAAAACGGUCACCAAAAUUGAAGCAAAAGUUCAAGAAAGCAACUUGUGAAGCUAAAAGAGUCACCUUGAGAAGAAGGUGAUGCUUGCACCAGAUCUUUAAGGAAAAUGUAAAAACAACAAUAAAAAAAAAAUUAGCAUUACAUAAACAGAGGUGCAC